rnacentral:sRNA from 14 species
CUUUGGCAAUUCCAAUUUUACGAAAAAAGAUGGGGGCAAUAAUA